CCCUUAGAUGUCCGGGGCCGCACGCGCGCUACACUGAAGGAAUCAGCGUGGCUUUCUCCCUGACCCGAAAGGGUUGGGAAACCCGUUGAAUCUCCUUCGUGAUAGGGAUUGGGGCUUGAAAUUGUUCCCCAUGAACGAGGAAUUCCCAGUAAGCGCGAGUCAUAAGCUCGCGUUGAUUACGUCCCUGCCCUUUGUACACACCGCCCGUCGCUACUACCGAUUGAGUGGUCCGGUGAAUUAUUCGGACCGGUGGACUGUGGGGUAACUCGCGGUCUGCUGGGAAGUCUUGUGAACCUUAUCACUUAGAGGAAGCAGAAGUCGUAACA
rnacentral:rRNA from 1 species